rnacentral:rRNA from 1 species
GACGAACGCUGGCGGCGUGCCUAAUACAUGCAAGUCGAACGCAGUUGGGACGGGUGAGUAACACGUGGUUAACCUCCCAUCAGAGGGGAUAACACGUGGAAACAGGUGCUAAACCGAUACUGAUGGAUGAACUCGCGGUGCAUUAGCUAGUUGGUGAGGUAACGGCUCACCAAGUCCACGAUGCAUAGCCGACCUGAGAGGGGGAUCGGCCACACUGGAACUGAGACACGGUCCAGACUCCUACGGGAGGCAGCAGUAGGGAAUAUUCGGCAAUGGACGAAAGUCUGACCGAGCCACGCCGCGUGAGUGAAGAAGGUUUUCGGAUCGUAAAACUCUGUUAUUAGAGAAGCGGUAUCUAACCAGAAAGCAACGGCUAACUACGUGCCAGCAGCCGCGGUAAUAC